GGGGGCGAUACGGCUUCGACGGGACUUGGAAUCUCGAAGCUGCGUGCCGAGGCCCGGGGCCUCGUAACAACCCCGGAACAACCAUGACAGCCAACACUGAAUUGGCCCUGGCAGCUUAGACAAGCUGCCCGCUUCCCUGUCUGCCCGCCCGAGGCGGGCUCCGGAGGCGUCGAUAAGUCGGGCUGGUCCCACGGCGGCGUCGCCGCGCCGAGGGACGAGAAACCAGGCGACUAGCCCGGCGGAGGUGGGUCGCCGACCUCAGCCGACGGCGAAGUUGAAUGGCGUCCUACGCACGUAGAAGCUUGGAGCGACUUUUUCUCGGACGCGGGUUCGACUCCCGCCGCCUCCACUC
rnacentral:tmRNA from 1 species